AGUGCACUUCAGCGAAGUUGCAAUGCUCUGCAAGUUUAAUAUACAGACAAUAACAAAUACUGCCAACAGCAAUGAAAGAGAAAUGUAACCAUCGCUUUAGUUGCUUCUUUUACUGCUGCUAGUUUUGUUGUUGUUGUUCUUCGAGGCAUCGUUCAACAGUUUUGUAUUUGUUUUGUGCAGGAGCGAGCGAGAGGCAGCGUGCUGACGCCCCAACAACAACAACAAAGAAGACAACGAAAGUAAAAUUUCACCCAAAUUUUUGUUUGUUUUUGCUGGUUUUUUGCCUUUUUGCUAUUCGCAUAAAAAAUAAGCUGGAUAAACAAGUUUUUGUUGUUGUAACACAUACAUAUACACAUAUAUAUUUGUUGUCUCUUUCUUUGCCUUUUGUUGUUGCUGUAACCCUUUAUGUUUGUUUAGAUUUGCCGGCUUUGCCUGCGCGAAAGUUUAAAACGGCAUAUUGACCCCCUCUUCCGUUCCUCCCCCUCUUUAAACUGGUUUAAUUGCACUCUGCAUCAUCGUCGUUUCUUUGCGGUUUUGUGCGAUUGCUUAACUCGGUAUUAUUUCCUUUACAAUCCGAGAGAUAAAAAGGCAAAUCUGACACAAUCUGUUUGUUUUUUGCUUAGUUUAGUUUACGAUUCUCAUCAACGUACAGCAGACGAUAUCUCUCUAUCUCACUCUCUAUGUAUUUGUGGUUGUACAUGCAAAGUAAAUGGCCACUCGUUUAUUGUUGUUGUGUUAUCAGUGCUUGAAUGUGGUCACAUCAUUAGUAGUUGGUCACUUCUUUUUAUUUUGUUUCCACAUCUACGUCUAGUCUAUGGUGCAGUGUUACCAAGCGAUUCGAUGCACAAAAGAAACGAAAGAAAGAAAGAAGGAAGAGUUGUUUUGCACCCACACCCACACACAUAUAAGCGCACCCAUGUACAUACAUGCAAUCAUACAAAAGCAAAACAGUCCGUGGUGGGGGCGACAUUGGCGACUGCUGCACUGCUCGCUCUCGUUGUGCUUAAUGCUUAAUAACAAUGGCACAAAAAGUGUACACUCAUUGCACUCCAAAGUGCAAGACAAUGUUAAUAGGCUGUAGCUAGAGUUGUUGCUGUCUGUCGUUGCAGCUGCUGCGCAAAAUUCAAUUUUCAUAUACAUAUGCGCAGCGAAUACUGCACUUUGGGCCACGCCCUCAAUCCUCCCUCAACGCCCCUCAAAAGAAAGUAUCGCAUUAGCGUCGAUCAGCUUCACACAUGCAUACAUAUAUACGUAUAUGUACAUGUGUAUUUAUAUACAUAAAUUGAUCGCUCGAUAGAUAAAACAAAUUCUGUAUCUCGCAGAACAUUGUUAUCGCAUUUCGCUUAUCGAUUUUCAAAAUUUAUUGCACGAUAUUUCAAUGGAUGUUUAACGAUAACAAUAACGAUUAUUAAGCAAUGUUUGUUGUUUGCUUUUUACAUAAUUUAAUGAGAGUUUCCAAUAAACAAAAUCUCAACAUAUUUGCCUAAUCUGCUGAUUUAAAAUUCGCUAAACAUAAUCGCAACAUUUUAAACGCUGUUGCGCAGUUGGAAGAUUUCUUUUAAUAGUUUUUGUUUUUAUAGAUAAGAAAUAAUACCAAAAUAUUCCGAGGAAACAAGAAAAUAUUUAUAACAAUUGCAUUCGAUUACAAAAUGUGUAAAUCGAACAAUUUGUAACAAGUUCAAGACAAAGUCAAAAGUAAAGAUUUAAUCUAGUGCCAUUUGAUGAAAAUUUCAAAAUCCCGUGCUGAGUGUUAGAUGUCAAAAGUUUGAAAAUGUUUCGGUUUACACGCUUCAUGAUGCUUCCACAGGUGGCGAAAGCAACAACAACAACAACAAAUAAAUCAACA